GACGUAGGGGGCGAGCGUUAUUCGGAAUUACUGGGCGUAAAGUGUGCGCAGGCGGCAGAGCAAGUCGAGUGUGAAAGCCCCGGGCUUAACUUGGGAAUUGCGCUCGAAACUACUUUGCUGGAGUGUGGCAGAGGAAGGUGGAAUUCCACGUGUAGCGGUGAAAUGCGUAGAGAUGUGGAGGAACACCAAUGGCGAAGGCAGCCUUCUGGGCCAACACUGACGCUCAUGCACGAAAGCGUGGGGAGCAAACAGG
rnacentral:rRNA from 1 species